AAGCAGUCUUUAAAUACUACAUUCAAUUUAAAUAUAUUUUAAAAUAUUUUUGAAUAAAUUAAAAAUGACUUUUACCCAUACAAAACAAUUUUUUGUUUUAUGUUUAAUUAUUUGUUUUAUUAAACAAAUAUAUUCUACACCACUCACAGAGAAGGAGAAGAUAGCGUUAGAACGGCACAAUGAUCUGAAAUUAGUGAUCAUAAGAGAACUGCAAAAUGAAGAG